rnacentral:rRNA from 1 species
AACGAACGCUGGCGGCAGGCUUAACACAUGCAAGUCGAGCGCCCCGCCAGGGGAGCGGCAGACGGGUGAGUAACGCGUGGGAACGUACCUUUUGGUUCGGAACAACUCCGGGAAACUGGAGCUAAUACCGGAUAAGCCCUAACGGGGAAAGAUUUAUCGCCGAAAGAUCGGCCCGCGUCUGAUUAGCUAGUUGGUGAGGUAACGGCUCACCAAGGCGACGAUCAGUAGCUGGUCUGAGAGGAUGAUCAGCCACACUGGGACUGAGACACGGCCCAGACUCCUACGGGAGGCAGCAGUGGGGAAUAUUGGACAAUGGGCGCAAGCCUGAUCCAGCCAUGCCGCGUGAGUGAUGAAGGCCUUAGGGUUGUAAAGCCCUUUUGUCCGGGAAGAUAAUGACUGUACCGGAAGAAUAAGCCCCGGCUAACUUCGUG